ACUGACCUAUAAGAUUCUUUUUCCGUAGUAAGAGCACAUGAACUACGUGCUACGUGUCUACGUUGCUCAUAAGUUCUAAAAUUUCAAAAACCAAAAAUGAU